rnacentral:lncRNA from 1 species
UUAAUUAUCCUCUGUUUUGUUCUGUUCCCACAUUCUAAACGAGCCUGCAAUAUACAGUAUGUUGAAUUGAAUGAUGAAACAAAAAAUUGAAUACACCAGAUGACCUCUUGAUCCGGAUCUCUCUCGUCGGAUUCUAUUUAUGUAUAAAUCAGGUUGGAAUUGUUUUAAGAUUGGAUCUCUGGACUUUGAAAAUAUCUUUAAGGGUGAAACUGUUGUUUUAAAAUUUUGUCAGUAACAUACCAGUCAUAAUCUAGAAUAAAUGAAUGAUACGCUAUCUGAAUUUGAAUUUGUAUUCCUCUAAUUGGUCAACAGAGUUUCUGGAAAACACUUAAUCAAAUCCUUACUGCUUAAAAUUGAUAUUUAUCUACUAUAGUCCAGAGUUCUUGAAUAUUGUAAUUAUCACCAAGUCUUUUCUCUUGACUUGUCAUUUGUCAAUGUUUAUCUAAUAAAAUCGUUUCAAAUCAUCCAAGAUGGUUGAACAAUUAGACCAGAUGGUGAACUCCAUGAAUGUUAUAAUAUGAAAUAAGGAUUUCUCCGGUGUCUCCUCGUGAACCGUCCACACCAUUAUUGAGAUGUUGGAGCUAUCCGAAAUAAGCUAAAUUCAUAAUAAAAUUUAGUGUUACUAGAAAAAUCGAUGAAAUAAAUAUGUAUAGUUGUAUACAGUACGUAUGAUUCCAGAUGGGAAAAAAUCCUUAACGGACAUAAUUUUUCAAAAUAUCGAGGAGAAGCGGAUUUGAAUUCCCCCUUAAUGAUUCUUGACAGGGGAAAAUCUGAAACAAACAUAAGUUCUUAAAAAAUUUGAGGAUAGACGGUUUUGAAUACCGCGUCAUCUCCUAAGUCGGGAUUCGAAACUGAAAGUUUGUGAAAUUUGAAGUUUUUGCCAAGGAAACCAAAUUUCGAACCCAAAAGAUGGGCAAGAUUCAUUCCAUGAAGAAAGUUCUCAGUUUUAUAACAAGUAGUAUAUACAAACUAAAAACUAGAUCCAGCAACCAGGCUGAUCACAUAGAGAUAAAGCCUCUAUUUCUAUAAUAUUCUUACCAAGACCCUGACCAUAAAAAAGUACUAGGAUUCCCCGACAGAAAUCGGCCUCUGAGCAAUCCCAAGCGGUGAUCUCGACCUCCCCUGCUGCCUCUUGAUCUCGCGAAGAACAGGACGGAGUAAAAACUCCUUUACUCCGUCCUGUUCUAGCGACGGAUGCUUGAUCUUCUCCAUCUCCUGCUUUAUUUUUCGGACUUGGCUAUGAACCGCCACGCCUAAAUAUGUUGCAUCUUUGUUGCUUUCGGUAUUUUUCUUCUGCUCCAUAAUGUUGUUUUGCCUUGCUUUCAUUGAGAGAAAUUAUUUAACACACUUUGUGCACCUUGCAACUAGACUUGCCUUUGUUAACACAACAACUUUGCAGCUACAACUACUUGUAUUUAUAUAUAGAAAAGAGGAGUUGAUGAGAAUGAGAAAUAAACGUACAUGAAUAUGACAUGAUUUAUUCAUGGAAGUUGAGUUAGGCUAGUUGAGACGAUUGUUUUGAACCGUGUUGUGGGGAUAUGUAUGGUUUAAUUACGAUAAUACCCUUGAAGAUAAUGAAAUUACUAUUAUACCCUUAUGAUUACUUUUUGUUUUAGCAAUUGGCACAAGGUAAAUACUGAAUUUUGUCCGUAG